rnacentral:piRNA from 1 species
UCAGACGUGACACAAAUGGUU